rnacentral:rRNA from 1 species
UCAAGUGACUAAGUGCAUGCGGCGGAUGCCUUGGCGAUCACAGGCGAAGAAAGACGCGGCAGCCUGCGAAAAGCUGCGGGGAGCUGGCAAACGAGCGUUGAUCCGCAGAUAUCUGAAUGGGGGAACCCACACCGCAAGGUGUAUCCGUAGCUGAAUACAUAGGUUACGGAGGCGAACGAGGAGAACUGAAACAUCUAAGUAUCCUCAGGAAAAGAAAUCAACCGAGAUUCCGGCAGUAGCGGCGAGCGAACCCGGAGGAGCCUAGCUUUUGAUAGUACGAACUUUAGCCGAAAGGUCCUGGAAAGGCCUGCUAUAGUGGGUGAUAGCCCCGUAGGCGAAAGAGUUGGUACGGUACUAAGGAAGCGAGAAGUAGAGCGGGACACGUGGAAUCCUGUUCGAAGACGGGGGGACCAUCCUCCAAGGCUAAAUACUCGUGAUCGACCGAUAGUGAACCAGUACCGUGAGGGAAAGGCGAAAAGAACCCCGGGAGGGGAGUGAAAUAGAACCUGAAACCGCAUGCAUACAAACAGUAGGAGCCUCAUCAGAGGUGACUGCGUACCUUUUGCAUAAUGGGUCAGCGACUUACAUUCUGUGGCGAGCUUAACCGAAUAGGGGAGGCGCAGCGAAAGCGAGUUCGAAAUGAGCGUCCAGUCGCAGGGUGUAGACCCGAAACCAGAUGAGCUAUCCAUGGCCAGGUUGAAGGUGUGGUAACACACACUGGAGGACCGAACCGACUAGUGUUGCAAAAUUAGCGGAUGAGCUGUGGAUAGGGGUGAAAGGCCAAACAAAUCUGGAGAUAGCUGGUUCUCCCCGAAAACUAUUGAGGUAGUGCCUCGUGUGUCGCUCCAGGGGGUAGAGCACUGUUUUGGCUAGGGGGACAUGGAGUCUUACCAAACCAAGGCAAACUCCGAAUACCUGGAAGCGUAAGCACGGGAGACAGAGCACCGGGUGCUAACGUCCGGACUCAAAAGGGAAACAACCCAGACCGCCGGCUAAGGUCCCAAAUAACAGCUAAGUGGAAAACGAAGUGGAAAGGCCGUGACAACCAGGAAGUUGGCUUAGAAGCAGCCAUCCUUCAAAGAAAGCGUAAUAGCUCACUGGUCGAGUCCUUCUGCGCGGAAGAUGUAACGGGGCUAAGCUGUUAACCGAAGCCGCGGAUGCGCUGGUUAUCCAGUGCGUGGUAGGGGAGCGUUCUGUAAGUCUGCGAAGGCGGUUCGAGAGGACUGCUGGAGAUAUCAGAAGUGCGAAUGCUGACAUGAGUAACGUUAAAGCAGGUGAAAAGCCUGCUCGCCGUAAGCCCAAGGAUUCCUGCUCUACGUUCAUCGGAGCAGGGUGAGUCGGCUCCUAAGGUCAGGCCGAAAGGCGUAGCCGAUGGGAAUCAGGUUAAUAUUCCUGAACCUGCGUCAGAUGCGAUGGGGGGACGGAGCAUGGAAGAUCAUCCGGGUGUUGGAAGUCCCGGUUGUUUAGCGUAGGAGGUCUGCAGGCAAAUCCGCAGACGCAUCUCCAAGGCAAAGACACGUGCCGCCACGGCGGCGAAGUGAUCGGAAGUGCUUCCAAGAAAAGCCUCUAAGCACCAGUCUGAUGCGGACCGUACCGCAAACCGACACUGGUGGGCGAGCUGAAUAUGCUCAGGCGCUUGAGAGAACUCGGGAGAAGGAACUCGGCAAAUUGACACCGUAACUUCGGAAGAAGGUGUGCCGUAGUACCGUGAGAGGAGAGACACCUUGAGCGGGAAACGGUCUCAGAGAAUAGGUGGCUGCGACUGUUUAUUAAAAACACAGCACUCUGCAAAGUCGAAAGACGACGUAUAGGGUGUGAUGCCUGCCCGGUGCUGGAAGAUUAAUUGAUGGGGUGAGAGCCCUUGAUCGAAGUCCCAGUAAACGGCGGCCGUAACUAUAACGGUCCUAAGGUAGCGAAAUUCCUUGUCGGGUAAGUUCCGACCUGCACGA